rnacentral:rRNA from 1 species
GACGAACGCUGGCGGCGUGCCUAAUACAUGCAAGUAGAACGCUGAAGGAGGAGCUUGCUUCUCUGGAUGAGUUGCGAACGGGUGAGUAACGCGUAGGUAACCUGCCUGGUAGCGGGGGAUAACUAUUGGAGACGAUAGCUAAUACCGCAUAAUAGUAGAUGUUGCAUGACAUUUGCUUAAAAGGUGCAAUUGCAUCACUACCAGAUGGACCUGCGUUGUAUUAGCUAGUUGGUGAGGUAACGGCUCACCAAGGCAACGAUACAUAGCCGACCUGAGAGGGUGAUCGGCCACACUGGGACUGAGACACGGCCCAGACUCCUACGGGAGGCAGCAGUAGGGAAUCUUCGGCAAUGGACGGAAGUCUGACCGAGCAACGCCGCGUGAGUGAAGAAGGUUUUCGGAUCGUAAAGCUCUGUUGUAAGAGAAGAACGAGUGUGAGAGUGGAAAGUUCACACUGUGACGGUAUCUUACCAGAAAGGGACGGCUAACUACGUG